AGCACAUUGAGCAAGGGAGGACGUUUGUUCUACAGCAAGGGUUAGUAAACUGGAGGGAAGGAAAAAGCCGGUCCAGGUUUUGUACCAUAGAAAAAAGGCUUUCCCUACUCAAAGAUCGCUAAAGCAGGCGAUUUUAGAAGACUUGUGCCU